rnacentral:misc_RNA from 1 species
GAUGAAGAACGUAGCGAAAUGCGAUACUUGGUGUGAAUUGCAGAAUCCCGUGAACCAUCGAGUCUUUGAACGCAAGUUGCGCCCGAAGCCAUUAGGCCGAGGGCACGCCUGCCUGGGCGUCACACGUCGUUGCCCCAUCAUCUACUCCUUCGGGAUUGCGGGGGGCGGAUGAUGGCCUCCCGUGCGCCUCGUCGCGCGGUUGGCAUAAAUGCCAAGUCCUCGGCGACACACGCCACGACAAUCGGUGGUUGCGAAACCUCGGUUGCCCGUCGUGUGCGGUCGUCGCGCAUCGAGGGCUCGAAAAAAUUGCCGGGCUCCGGCUCGGCUUUCAACGCGACCCCAGGUCAGGCGGGGUUACCCGCUGAAUUUAAGCAUAUCAAUAAGCGGAGGA